rnacentral:lncRNA from 1 species
CGCCCCUCCACGCUUCUGCCUUGACCCUCACCACGCCCGCCAACCCGCCCCGCCUCCCCUUCAACGCGCCACUCCCUCCCCCACCACUCCGUGCCACGCCCGCUCUCCACGCCCUGCCCCCGUGGGAAUGUGCAAUGGGGCGGGCAGCGCGCCUUGAGGCUGGCGCCCUGGUAGGGGUGGGCUGACCAGCCUGAUGGGGGCUGAGACUGCCUGGAACCCAAACGGAAGCUCCCUGGCCUAUGUUUGAAACCGUGAAUUCACCGGCUAGAAUGGAAAUGCCAGGUACCUGGGAACCUGGAAGUUGCCUUUUCAAUGCUGCCUUUCCCGUUCUCCCCUCCAUCCCUCUGGCUGCAACGAUCCUCCCUCUGGAACCCCUGGUCAGGCUCACUUCAGAGUGCCCCUUGGACCCUGCCUGGCUGAACCAUCCACACCUUGGUCAGGCAUCUUGGAAGGACUGCCCCAGCCGUGUUAUAAAAGGAGAAAACGUCACAGUGGGCAGCCCCAUUCCUGCGUUAUCCAGACAGGAAACUCAGGUGCUCAGGUCAGUGAUGCCCCCCCAAGCUGCUUUGGGGACCACACCCACACCGCUUCUCUGACGGCCCACACAGGCUGGUUCACCGCAUCCUUGUCCCACUGUGGGCCUCUUGACCUAAUCAACACAGGCAACAGGACCAGAAGUUCCCAGCAGUACCCCCAAAAUGUUAGGGAAGUUUGUGUAGGAAGGUGUUACACAACUUCAGCAUUUCUGCUCUACAAUGCAGCUCCUUUGGAACCACUUUUAACAUCCCUUUUUAAAUAUCCCUUUGGAACCGAGUUUAAUAAUUUGUUGCUGUUGGGAGUUACAAUAAUUCUGUUAAGUCAUUUUCCCAUUUAGUUUCUCUGAUAAUUCCGAGUUCUACAUUACUACCUGCCUCUCAGAUGAGUGCUGGCAGCCCCAGUUCUGUACAGGGAGGAUGCAAAACGGCAGAAUAUCUGUGGUGCAACUUUCUGGAGCAUCAGUUUACUACAAGAUUUGGAAGAAUAAGUUAAGUAAUUUCCAAGGUGCUGGAGAUAGUCCUGAACAGCACAGCUUAGGGUCCUGUGCCAUGAAGGAGCCUACACACUAGUCCUGGGAGAUGAGACAAGCAACAAGCAAGUAAAUCCUGGAAAGAUCAAGGUCACUUCAGAUGGUGAUGAAGCAGAGUCAUGUGAUUGAGAGAGCCCACAGGUCUGGGUGGGCCAUGGUCACCCUGGUUUAGAUUGGCUGGUCGGGGUAGGUCUCCCUAAGGAGGUAAGAUUCGAGUUUUCCAGGUAGGAGGUACACAGGAAGAAUGAAACCGUGAGGGUGGGAGCCCAUCUGAGUGCUGUGGCUGCCAGCCUGGAAAAGUGACUGAUGGGGAGAAAGGUAUCAGGUGAGUUCAGAGAGGGGGCCGAGGCCAGAUCACUUGCCUAACACUUUUAGCAUCUAAAUGUCAACAUAGGCACUUAAAGAUCACAAUCUGGGGGCCGGCCCUGUAGCUUAGUGGUGCAGUUCGGCAUGCUCUCCUUUGGUGGCCCAGACUUGGUUCCUGGGUGUCGAUUUACACCACUCAUCAGCCAUGCUGUGCUGGUGACCCACAUACGAAAUAGAGGAAGAUUGGCAACAGAUAUUGGCUCAGGGUGAAUCUUCCUCAGCAAAAACAAAAAAGCAAAUCACAAUCUGUUUUCAAAACUAUAAAGCAAAGUUGAGGUCUAUCCCAGUGGGGUGUUUUCUGUAGACCUACAUUGUUGGAAAUGCCUCAUAGAGUAAUUACGUGGUUUCCUUUACUCACAGAACUAUGUGUUAGAUCUGUGGGAAAGAAGUACAACACAGAGCUGCUAAAACUAUGAAAGACUUAAUGGUCAGUUUUUUUUUAAUCUUUGGCAUUGGUGUAUCCCGAGAUCUGUACUGUUCUAGGGUGAUAGCUUAGGAGUGAGUAUGAUUUGAACUUGCUCAUGUUUACAGGGUAUACAAUACUGAGAACCAGUUAGAUCCAUCGACUCUGACCCUAAAUGUGGCCCUAAGGUAAACUGGUUGAAGAAAUUGGAUCCUAAAGAUUACAGGUGGAGAAUUUUUAAAGGAUGUCCAUAUUCGAGGGAAGACCAAAGAAUCCCAACUGAAAGAAUUGUGAACUGACUGACAUGAUAGCCACGGAUUGAGCACAAUUUCUUUUUAAAAGGGCUGUCUUGAAGAUUAUGACUCAAACUUUGGAGGAACUAAGGUGAUUGGAAGGAAUCAGAACAUGUGAAAUUACUUAAAUAAAAAUUUAUUGACUUAAAAAAAAACCUAUAAAGCAUAAAAAUGAUCAGUUCAGGGGCUGGCCUGGUAGCAUAGUGGUUAACUUCGUGUGCUCCACUUUGGCAGCCCAGGGUUCACAAGUUUGGAUCCCGGGCAUGGACCUAGCACCACUCAUCAAGCCAUGCUGCAGCAGUGUCCCACAUAAAAUAGAGGGAAACUGGCAAAGAUGUUAGCUCAGUGACAAUCUUCCUCAAGUAAAAAGAGGAAGAUUGGCAACAGGUGUUAGCUCAGGGCCGAUCUUCCUCACAAAAAUAAUAAAUAAGUAAAAAUGAUCAGUUCAAACUGAACUUUAAGAGAUUAGUCUGCUUGGGUACAAUAUAUUUCAUCAAAUAUAAAAUUGUAGUUAAGGGAAAAAAAGAUUAUAAUGGAUAAUUUCACUCAGAUGUUCCCAAGUCCACCAGUCCUGUAAAACCCCCCUUCCCCUUCAAGUGUCGAUAGAACAGACACUCUUUCGUAAAAAAUGCCCAUGUCCCAUCUGUGAUGGGGAACCUCAGAUCCUUCCUUUGCUCAUGCCUUUCCCUGAGAAUCAUUAGAUUUUACGUUUCUUCAAGUCAGUUUGUCCUAAUUUAUUGCUUCUGCUAAAUUUGAGUCUCACUUGUAGCUGUCCUCUGACUUUCCCUUUAUUUUCUUCCCAAGGAGGAGAGGAGCCCAUUUCCUUAGUUUCCCUCAAAUGCACUCCCCCAGCAAGUCUAUGUAAUUGUGAUAGACUGGUUAUUUGUGGAAAGAAACAGAAGUUUUAUUGCAUCUGCUUCAAACUUCAUAACGGUCAUCUCUGUUCCAACUGACAUUGGCCAUGCCCGCCUGGGGGUCAGCUGUCCACACUGUCCUCGUGGCCUUCAGCGCUGCUGCACUCUCUCUGACUCCUUCUUUCCUCUCUCUCCACCACCUUGGCCCCCAUCUUGGGGUUGUCACAGGAAGCUCCAGAUCAACCGUGCCCACGGCUGCCAUGUCACAGGAGCACCUUAAGGUUUCUCCUUAAGUGAUAUUUCUGUCUUGACAGGAAUUCUGCUGUUGGAUUAAAUUGUAUUCUCCUUGCCUUAUGAACUAUGAAGACUUUCUUGCAAGAUGUCGCUAAUUUAUUUUUCCUUUAGGCAAUAACUCUGCAGUGUGCCAUGCAUGUCACACACACACACUUUCAGAGAAAAUGUGUUCUAUAAAUGCAAAAUGACAAUGAUAAUUAUUAUUAGUCAUGAUUUCUUGUGAUGUUCUAGAAUUCAUCUGUGAAAUGAUCUGUUGCUGAGAAAUAGAAUGAGAGAUAUUUAAAACCUCCAAAGGAAAAGAGAUCGAGUUGAAAUGUGCAAAAGUCUUAUUUUAUUCAGCAACUCAGCUUAAAAAUGGCCUCGUUAAAAGGGCUGUAUCCACAUUUUCAGUGAGUGGAGAUCAAAAUUUAGUUAAUCUCUUGUCUUGAAAAUGUUUGGAACUUUUUGUCAUUGUAACAGAACCCUAAAAUAUGGUCUAUAGGUAGUCCUUCACUUUUCUGUACAUUCGAAUCAUAUGUCUCUUGUUCAGACUUCCACUUUUUAACAUUAUAAUUCUAGUGCCUUAAAUACUUUGAAAAAAACCCCAGAAUUCUGACUCCUCUAAGUCAGAUGGUAAACAUCUCAAGUUGUUAAAUGAUGAUUUUUCUGGCAGUCAACAUUUGAAUAUAAGUGCUGUGACCAUUUUUCAGAAAAAUGUAUGUGUAUUUAAAUAAUUUACGGAAUUUCUGCAUCAGUUUACAAAAGACAGUUUAAGUUAAGGCCCAGCUCUGGCGGGGUGUUAUUCAAGCUUGUCACCUGCUUGCAGGUUACUGCACUGUUCUGUGCUUCUGUCUCCUCAUCUGUGACAUGGGCAAUAACUCAUAGAGAUGUGUCAGAAUUAAGUGGGUGGACACAGGUGAGGUGCUUAGAUCAAUGCCUGGCAUGUAAUAAGUAUUUAAAAACGGUUAGCCAUUAAGAUAUAAAGCUAUAUUAUUAAGAUAUAAAAUUAUUAUAUUAAAGUUCACAGAAAUGGGGAAAUGAAAGUGCUACUGCUAUUGAGAAAACGUUAAAACCAGUGAGGAUUUAUCCAAAGAACAUGAAAACACGAAUGCAUAAAGAUACAUGCACCCCUAUGUUCAUCGCAGCAUUAUUCACAACAGCCAAGACUCGGAAACAACCUAGGUGCCCAUCAAGAGAUGAAUGGAUAAAGAAGAUGUGGUAUAUACACAAUGGAAUACUAAGCCACAAAAAAGGAGGAAAUCUGGCCAUUUGUGACAACAUGGAUGGAACUUGAGGGCAUUAUGCUAUAAGCAAAAUUGUCCAUGACUGUCAGUGAAGAUUUGCAGAGAUCAAAAUUUUAAAAGGAUGAAAGCCAUCAAAUGAGAUAACGGCCAUGUCACUAUAGCUACAAGGUGAAGAGUAAUAGGACCUGCGCCCGUCAUCCGUCCUCCUCCCCACGGCCUGCCCCCCGGCACAGCGUGAGGCUGGGGUGAACUAGGGGGCUGUUAGAGCAAGGGGAGCACUUGGGUCACCUCCAGUGCUUUCUGCACAGGACGCCUGCCACAGCGUGGACUGACAAGCGGUGCGUAGAUCCACACCUUGGAUCUGAACCGGCGAACCCUGGGCUGCAGAAGCGGAACGUGUGAACUUAACCGCUGCACCACCCGGCCAGCCCCUAAUAGGCAUUUUUACAUAUCUGGAUUCCUUUCCUUCAGUCUUGCACUGAAACUCCUAAAGAUAAUAACAAUAUAGUGGUGGUAGAUUUGGGCAUAUGUGUAACACAAUGAACAGACAGAUACAGACUAGUGACAGGCUGCAUAUUUACACUUGUUAAAAUUCAACAGUAGUAAAGCUAAAUGAUCCAAUAAGUGGGAGGUCCAGUGUAAAGCUAGAGAGAGCAAAUUUUCACCUCCGUGGAAAAUUCCCGACAGAAGCAUGCUAUGAUUCAUGCACCCAAAGCAACUCUAAAUCUCUGCAAUAUUUAACAAACCACUUUUCCUCCGAGACCUCAGUCCCUCCUCCAUAAAAGAGGGUCUCAAUCAAUUAUCCGUAAAAUCAUCUCAAAUUUCGACAAUCUGUCUUUAUAUAUCUGUGAUUCUCCUGCUGUGUAAACUUAUCCCCACUGCUGGACACAAAAAAACAAACCUGUUCUUCAUGCGAAAGAACUGUACUGUCUCCCGAGGCCGAUUCGAUCUGAACGGCAAUAGCGAUCAGCUAGGGACUGUGAUUCGCGGGAGAUCAAAUACUUUAAACGCAGCUCCUCUAGCUGCCUCCCAUUCUGCAUCCCGUUCUGCAUCCAGACGUUAACAGGCCCUUCACAGAAACGGUUGCACAACUUUAUCAGUGGUCAGGUAAAUAAAAAUUAAAACCACAGUCGCCACGACUCGCCCGAAGAGGAGCUGCGGUGAAGACGACCCACAGGAUCAACGCCGAUCGCUCGUGUGCACGCGGAGCAAGCGCAGCUCUCACGUGUCCACAGCGAGUCAGAACUGACGCUCGACUUUGGAAAACUGUAUGGGAGUAUCCAGUACAGCUGGCCCUACAAUCCGUUCCUGGUUUUAUAUCCAAUAGAAAUGAGUGAUUUGUACGCCCAAGCUUUUACAAGAAUGAUCAGAGUAGCGUUGCUUGGAAUCUAACAAAUAGCAUGCGGUAUGUCUGUUCAUUGGGAUACCACACAGCCACGAGAAGGAACCGUCAGCACAUGAACCAGUGUGGAAUCUCACAUACGGAGUACUGAGGAAGGAAUCCAGAGAUGAAAAGAGAUUUCCAGACCUGACCAACGGCUGUUGAGAACUGCACUGUGUUUACUGACUUCAUCCUCCUGGACUCUCUGACAGAGAAGAUGUACAACAGGGACUCUGUGCUCUUCCUCCUGGCUUAUGGCAUCACUGUGAUUGCCAACAUAGGGAUGAUCCUACUGGUCAAGAUGGACCCCAGACUCCACCUGCACGUGUAUUAUUUCCUGAGCAAUCUGUCAUUCUGAGAUGUCGGAUAUUUCACCACUGUCUCUCCCAAAAUGUUGGCUGAUUUUUUAUAUAAAAGUUUAUUUUGUUCAAUUCUGUGCCACCUAUACCUAUUUUGUUGAGG